rnacentral:rRNA from 1 species
AAAGGAAUUGACGGGGGCCCGCACAAGCGGAGGAACAUGUGGUUUAAUUCGAUGAUACGCGAGGAACCUUACCCGGGCUUAAAUUGCACUGGACAGACUCAGAGAUGGGUUUUUCUUCGGACCAGUGUGAAGGUGCUGCAUGGUUGUCGUCAGCUCGUGCCGUGAGGUGUCGGCUUAAGUGCCAUAACGAGCGCAACCCUUGCUUCCAGUUACCAUCAGGUAAUGCUGGGGACUCUGGAAGGACUGCCAUCGUAAGAUGUGAGGAAGGUGGGGAUGACGUCAAAUCAGCACGGCCCUUACGUCCGGGGCUACACACGUGUUACAAUGGGGGGUACAGCAGGUCGCUACCUGGUGACAGGACGCUAAUCCGUAAAACCCCUCUCAGUUCGGACUGGAGUCUGCAACCCGACUCCACGAAGCUGGAUUCGCUAGUAAUCGCGCAUCAGCCACGGCGCGGUGAAUACGUUCCCGGGCCUUGUACACACCGCCCGU